rnacentral:rRNA from 1 species
UACGGAGGAUCCAAGCGUUAUCCGGAUUUAUUGGGUUUAAAGGGUGCGUAGGCGGCUUUUUAAGUCAGGGGUGAAAGACGGUAGCUUAACUAUCGCAGUGCCUUUGAUACUGAAGAGCUUGAAUGAACUAGAGGUAGGCGGAAUGUGACAAGUAGCGGUGAAAUGCAUAGAUAUGUCACAGAACACCGAUUGCGAAGGCAGCUUACUAUGGUUUUAUUGACACUGAGGCACGAAAGCGUGGGGAUCAAACAGG